rnacentral:rRNA from 1 species
UGCAAGUCGAACGAGAUUAGAGACUUCGGUUUCUAUGAAAGUGGCGCACGGGUGCGUAACACGUAUGCAACCUACCUUCAAUUGGGGGAUAGCCUUCCGAAAGGGAGAUUAAUACCGCAUAAGAUAUCAGAAUGGCAUCAUUUAGAUAUUAAAACUUUGGUGAUUGAAGAUGGGCAUGCGUUGCAUUAGCUAGUUGGUAAGGUAACGGCUUACCAAGGCUACGAUGCAUAGGGGAUCUGAGAGGAUGGUCCCCCACACUGGUACUGAGAUACGGACCAGACUCCUACGGGAGGCAGCAGUAAGGAAUAUUGGUCAAUGGACGGAAGUCUGAACCAGCCAUGCCGCGUGCAGGAAGACGGCCCUAUGGGUUGUAAACUGCUUUUGUCGGGGAAUAAACCUAGAUACGUGUAUUUAGUUGAAGGUACCCGAAGAAUAAGGAUCGGCUAACUCCGUGCCAGCAGCCGCGGUAAUACGGAGGAUCCAAGCGUUAUCCGGAUUUAUUGGGUUUAAAGGGUGCGUAGGCGGUAAAUUAAGUCAGAGGUGAAAGCCUGCAGCUCAACUGUAGAACUGCCUUUGAUACUGGUUUACUUGAGUACAGAUGAAGUGGGCGGAAUGUGACAAGUAGCGGUGAAAUGCAUAGAUAUGUCACAGAACACCGAUUGCGAAGGCAGCUCACUAAAGUGUAACUGACGCUGAGGCACGAAAGCGUGGGGAUCAAACAGGAUUAGA